rnacentral:lncRNA from 1 species
AUGUCCAGCUGCAGGCUGUGGGGGACAGACCUGCUGAGGGUACAGUGCUGGCUGCCAUCAGAGGCCACAGUCGCCAUCCUGUCUGCACUCUGCCAUGCCUAUGGAGAUGAGUUACACCCCUGCCACAAAGACAAUGGCAACAGUGACAUUGAAUCUAAUCAGGGUCCUGACCUUCUGAAGCAGGACGCCAAACCAUGGCUUCUGAUGGGUAAUUAGUGAAACACUAAGGGGUAAGUACAGCUGUCACUGGCAUCGAUUCUUUGGCAGUACCUGGUCUGGGCAUCGUUUUGUUCAGGCAGUGCUGCGACAUACUGAACCACCAAUUCAGCUCAUCUCGGCUCCCAGCAUCUACCCACAUCGCCGUCCAAAGGCCUGCCUGAUUGCUUGGCAUCUCCUGCUGCAACAUCUGCCAUCUCUGCUGUUCCAGCAGAAAGGGUGCCCUUCAGCAGGGCCUCUGCUUGUUCAUACAGUGACACAUGACCCCAGCCUCAGCGUGACUUGGAGACUUCAGUAAGGAGCAGUGAGUAAUCCUUUCCUCUCCACACACACACACACACACACACCAAUCGAAUGAGGCAAACAUAGGUGUUCCCACCUGAUUUACAUAUUAACAGAUGUGGGACAGAGGCAGGAGAAAAUCAGGUCCAGUGGGACCUGAAAGAAGUUGAUGUACAUGCAAGUUUUGCAGAUGGGGCAAGUAUGUAAGAAGUAAAGCAAGAAUAGGUGUCUUUAUCUAUCUCUGGUGGAUGUCCAGAGUUAGGACUUAAAGCGCAGCUGUUAGUGUAGUGGUUAGAGCUCCUGCAUUUGAAUCUAGAGGUCAUAGGUUUAUAUCCCACCUCUAGCUGUAGUACCCUUAAGAAAGGUACUUACUCUAAAUUGCUCCAGUAAAAUUGCCCAGUGUAUAAAUGGGUAAAUAACUGUAAGUAGCUUAACACUGUGAGUUGCUGUGGAGAAAAGUGUCAGCUAUAAAUAAAUGUAAUUGUAGCUCUGGUGCUGGGGUACA